rnacentral:rRNA from 1 species
UACGUAGGGGGCUAGCGUUGUCCGGAAUCAUUGGGCGUAAAGCGCGUGUAGGCGGUCCGGUAAGUCCGCUGUGAAAGUCAAAGGCUCAACCUUUGAAAGCCGAUGGAUACUGCAGGACUAGAGUACGGAAGAGGCGAGUGGAAUUCCUGGUGUAGCGGUGGAAUGCGCAGAUAUCAGGAGGAACACCAAUAGCGAAGGCAGCUCGCUGGGACGUUACUGACACUGAGGCGCGAAAGCGUGGGGAGCGAACAGG